rnacentral:rRNA from 1 species
GACAUAGGUGGCGAACGUUAUCCGGAAUUAUUGGGCGUAAAGGGUGCGUAGGUGGUUUAAUAAGUUACUGGUGGUAAAUCGGGGCUCAACCUCGUGGAAGUCAGUAAUACUAUUAGACUAGAGGACCGGAGGAGUUAACGGAAUGGCUCAUGUAGGGGUAAAAUCCGCAAAUAUGAGUUAGAACACCAAUUGGCGAAGGCAGUUAACUAUUCUGUUACUGACAUUGAGGCACGAAAGCGUGGGGAGCAAAACGG